CCAGGCUGGUCUCAAACAGCUGGCCUCAGGUGAUCCACCCGCCUCGGCCUCCCAGUGCUGGGAUUACAGGCGUGAGCCACCGCGCCAGGCCAGUUUUCUGUAUCUUCGAUUCUAGCCAUCCUUAUGGGUAUGAAGUGGUAUCUCAUUGUGGUUUUGAUUGGUGUUUCCCUGAUGAUGAAUUUCAUUGAGCAUCUUUUCAUGUGCUUAUUGGCCACUUGUAUGUUGGAGAUGUGCCAUAUUUUCAUAUUCAAAAAUGAAAGCACAGGUCCAUACAAAACUUGUACAUGAAUAAUUCAGUAGCAUCACUCCUAAUAACCCAAAGAGGGAAUUAAUCCAAAUGCCCAUCACCAGAUGAAGAGAGACACCGAGUGUUGUCUACCUACACAGUGGAAUAUUAUUUGAUCACAAAAAGGAGCAAAGUACUCACAUAUGCUACAGUGUGGAUGAACCUUGAAAACAGAUGAAAGAUCACAUUCUACAUGAUUUCAUUCAGAUGGAAAUCUAUAGAAAUACGAAGUGGGUUAGUGGUUGCUUCUGGCUGGUAGGGGCAUGGGAGGAUAGGGGGUGUUAGCCAAACGGUAUGAGGUUUCUUUUUGAGGUCAUGAAAUGUUCUAAAAUUGACUGGUAAUGUUUGCGUGUAUCUCUGAAUAUAUUAAAAACAAUUGAAAUGUAAAAAACGCAAAGAAAAAACAGCCCAACUUGCAGUUUUAUUCAACACUUGAUGGGUUUUAAAAAUAGAUUCCAGGCUGGGCUUGGUGGCUCACACCUGAAAUCCCAGUGCUUUGGGAGGCUAUGGUGGGAGGAUUGCUUGAGGCCAGGAGUUCCAGGCCAGCCUUGGCAACAUGGCAAGACCCUGUCUCUACCAAAAAAAAAAAAAAAGAAAAGAAAAAAUAAGUAGCAGCUGGGUGCAGUGGCUCAUGCUUGUAAUCCUAGCACUUUGGGAGGCUGAGUUGGGCAGAUCACCUGAGGUUAGGAGUUGAAGAUCAACCUGGCCAACGUGGUGAAACCCUGCCUCUACCAAAAAUAUAAAAUUUAGCCUUUUGGUACUCUGAGCAGCACCAUGGCGGUUGUUAAGAACAAAUGCCUUAUGAAAGGUGGCAAAAAGGAAGUUAAGAAGAAAGUAGUCAAUCCAUUUUCUAAGAAAGAUCAGUAUGAUGUGAAAGCACUUGCUAUGUUCAAUAUAAGAAAUAUUGGAAAGAUGCUAGCCACCAGGUCCCAAGGAACCCAAUUGGCAUCUGAUCGUCUCAAGGGUCUUGUGCUUAAAGUGAGUCUUGCUGAUUUGCGGAGUGAUGAAGUUGCAUUUAGAAAAUUCAGGCUGAUUACUGAAGAUGUUCAGGGCAAAAACUGCCUGACUCACUUCUAUGGCAUAGGUUCUUAGCUGUGACAAAAUAUGUUCCAUGGUUGAAAAAUGUUCAACAAUGAUUGAAGCUCAUGUUGGUGUCAAGACUAUCGAUGGCUACUUCUUUCGUCUGUUCUGUGUUGGUUUUACUGAAAAACGCAACAGUCAGAUAUGGAAGACUUCUUAUGCUCAGCACCAGCAGUCCGCCAAAUCUGGAAGAAGAUGCUGGAAAUCAUGACCUGAGAGGUGCAGACAAAUGACUUGAAAGAAGUGGACAAUAAAUUGAUUCCAGACAAGAUUGGAAAAGAUGUAGAAAAGGCUUGCCAAUUUAUCCUCUCCAUGAGGUCUUCAUUAGAAAAGUAAAGAUGCUGGAGAACCCUGGGUUUGGAUUGGGAAAAGGCAUGGAGCUUCAUGGUGAAGGUAGUAGUUCUGGAAAACCCACUAGGGACGAGACACAUGCUAAAGUUGAAUGAGCUGAUGGAUAUGAACCACCAGUCCAAUAAUCUGUUUAAAGUUCAGACUUAUAAUAGUGGCAAAUAAAAAGUCCUAUUUGUGAAAAACAAACAAUAAACAACAAUGAAAAAAAGCAAAA